CAACCCAGGCACGUGUUCCAGUUCUAUGAGUAGACCCCAACCCAGGUGUUUUUCUUGGCCGCCACGAAAGUAUAUAAAGUUUCAUCAACUGCCUAAAUUGUCAUCACAGAGGGCACUGUGCACAGGUAGGGUUUACACCUACAGCGAACACUGACACCUUCCUGUGCUACAGAGAGCUAGUUCAACUUCACGUGGUGGUCAAAGACUUUGUCAGCGGUCGUGCACUGUCUCAGAAUCCUCUGCUCUCUGGACCUCAGCCAUGGCGGAACUGAAAACAGCAGCUGAGAAGACUGUCACCUCCGCAUGUAGAAGUGUUUCCAUUCAUCUGUCUAACUUCUCAGCUAACAUCUUGAUAAAUCCACAGAUUUACAGCAAGAGUGGAUACUGCUGUGGCGCCCCACAACCCACGGUAGAAAAGGGGGCUGUAGCAACAUGCAGUUUUGUGAAAAGAACGUUAAGCGCACGUGGUGCUGUUGGGCUCCUGACCUUUGACAUCACUGAAGACCGGAACGAGCAAGCAGUCAACCGUCUGGCCAUCAUGUUCUCUGUGCCUUUUGACUACAAUCUCUAUGAGAACUGGUUUGCUCUGGGUUUGUUCGAAAUUACUAAAAAAUGUAAUGAGGGUCUGUUUGAGCUCAUGUAUAACGAUGAUGAACCGGAAUUCAAAAGAGGAAUGGGAUCAGGAUCAGAAUUCGGAUUCGAAGGCAAAAGGUACACUUUGACAGGAACCAUGUCUGGUGGUGGAAAUGCAGAAAUCAAAGUAGAACUCAGGAAUAAAGAGAUAAAGUCAGAUCAAUUUGAUUAAUUCUGAAAACAAACAUUGGGGCUCAUUCACAAAACUUUUCUUAAAUUAUUCUUACUUCUGUUCUUUAAAAUGGUCCUAAAAAAACAAUAUGAGAUUCAUGACACACGUGCAGACCUUUGUUUUUGUGCAUAUCCCACGUCCAUGAGAUGACGAAUGCUGGCUGUUUGUAAAUUUUUUGCACAAUUCUUUUCAUGUGAUUAGCAAAAGGAAACAGCAAGGAUCAAAUACAGAUAAGAAAAAUAAAAGAUGAAUGCCGAAAUCCUGGAAACGUUCUUACGCACAGUUUAUGUUCAAAUGCAAUCGUACACAUUUUUCGUGAAUGAGGCCCAAUGUGAGCUGCUAUGCGUAGCUGGUAGAAUGUCUUACCAUAGCAGACUGCAUACUGCUUACAAACAGCUCAGUAAACUGGGUUAAUGUUUCAGGCUAAUUACUUCACAUGAACAUAUUCUAUCUGAGCACAAGCAUAUAAUCAAUUCAAUAUAUUUUUAAGAUCAUAUAAAUAAGUAAAUGUUAAACAUAUAAUUGUUAAUGUCAUUGUUAACAUCUAAUGUAGCCAAUAAAUAAACCGCUUUUUAUGAUUGAAA